CCAGAGCACAGGGUGCAGUUCUCAUCUGUCUGUCACCAAGAAGGCAGACGGGACAGAGGAACAACAAGUCGCUUGUACCUGAAGAGGAGGACACUCCUGGGAAACAAACAGAUGAGCUGCCCCACGAAUCCGAGCCAUGCUGGAGGCUCUCAUCUCUCCCAGGAUGGCCUUGGGAUGAUCUUGGCUUAUAGGAGUUGGGCCCACUUGUUCUAGACCUCAAACUGUUUGCACUCAACCCAGAGUUUCCAGGUAAACUGUUGCAGGAAUAUCGAUGUAGACAGCACUGAUCCAAAUGCCGUACUCUGAGAAGAGUUAGGGCUCAAACCCUCUUCAGUAGAUGGACGAUGAUUUGUAAGUUAACCUGAAAUUCUCAAGGCUGUAUCACAGACUGCCUGACAGCUGUUUGAUAAUUACUGAAAAUAGGCACCUUUGAUAUAUAAAUCAAGGGAAACAACCUAGGUGUCCAUCACUGAUGAACACACAAAACACGUGGUAUGUGUAUGAAGUGGAAUACUAUGUAGCCAUAAAAAGACUGAACUCCUGUCGUAUGUGACAACAUAGAUGAUCUGGAGAUCAUGAUGCUUAGUGAAAUAAGCCUGGUAAAGAAAGCCUACAAUACCUCCACACAACUUCUAAAGAGGUUGAUCACCUGAAGGUUGGACUCACCGACUUUCAACGUUU
rnacentral:lncRNA from 1 species